rnacentral:lncRNA from 1 species
CAAGGCAUAGUCUUGUGCUUGAAUGAAGAUUCUCAUUCUAGUCUUCCAAUAGGUAUAAUUUGUCCCAUUGAAGAGUGGAGGUCUAUUGGUUGCUUGCCCCUCGGCAGGAACAUUGUUAAAGGGUAUUGCCAUCUAGAUCUUUGGCUAAGACGGUUAGGUCUUUCAAGAAAUACACAGAGCACCGGCUCUGAUACCACUUGUUGCCCAGAGAUGGUCACCCAAGAGGGGGGUGAAUUGGGUGUUUUAAAAGCUUUUGACUAAUUAAAAAUAAAACACACGAAUAUAUGCACUAAAGUAAAGAAAGAGGAAUAAGAAAGGUCUAUCGCAAACACAAUGUUUUAU